rnacentral:rRNA from 1 species
UGGCGGCGUGCCUAAUACAUGCAAGUCGAACGGUCUUUCUAUGGAAGCUUGCUUCCACUGAGAAGAUAGUGGCGAACGGGUGAGUAACACGUGGGUAACCUGCCCAUAAGAGGGGGGAUAACAUCCGGAAACGGGUGCUAAUACCGCAUAGUUUUCUUGAUUGCAUGAUCGGGAAAGGAAAGACGGCCUUUGUGCUGUCGCUUAUGGAUGGACCCGCGGCGUAUUAGUUAGUUGGUGAGGUAACGGCUCACCAAGACGAUGAUACGUAGCCGACCUGAGAGGGUGAUCGGCCACAUUGGGACUGAGACACGGCCCAAACUCCUACGGGGGGCAGCAGUAGGGAAUCUUCCGCAAUGGACGAAAGUCUGACGGAGCAACGCCGCGUGAGUGAAGAAAGGUUUUCGGAUCGUAAAACUCUGUUGUCAGAGAAGAACAAGUUGGAGAGUAACUGCUCCAGCCUUGACGGUAUCUGACCAGAAAGCCACGGCUAACUACGUGCCAGCAGCCGC